rnacentral:rRNA from 1 species
GUAGUAAGCAGGGGACUCUAGCGAAACUGCCACCGUAAGGUGAGAGGAAGUGGGAUGACGUCAAAUCAGCACGGCCCUUAUGUCCAGGGCUACACACGUGUUACAAUGGCCGGUACAGAGGGCAGCUACCUGGUGACAGGAUGCUAAUCUCGAAAACCGGUCUCAGUUCGGAUCGAAGUCUGCAACUCGACUUCGUGAAGCUGGAUUCGCUAGUAAUCGCGCAUCAGCCAUGGCGCGGUCGAAUACGUUCCCGGGCCUU